rnacentral:rRNA from 1 species
GUAGGGUGCGAGCGUUGUCCGGAAUUAUUGGGCGUAAAGAGCUCGUAGGCGGUUUGUCGCGUCGGCCGUGAAAACUUGGGGCUUAACCCCAAGCCUGCGGUCGAUACGGGCAGACUUGAGUUCGGCAGGGGAGACUGGAAUUCCUGGUGUAGCGGUGAAAUGCGCAGAUAUCAGGAGGAACACCGGUGGCGAAGGCGGGUCUCUGGGCCGAUACUGACGCUGAGGAGCGAAAGCGUGGGGAGCGAACAGGAUUAGAUACCCUGGUAGUCCACGCCGUAAACGGUGGGUGCUAGGUGUGGGGGACUUCCACGUCCUCUGUGCCGCAGCUAACGCAUUAAGCACCCCGCCUGGGGAGUACGGCCGCAAGG